GAUGAACGCUGGCGGCGUGCCUAAUACAUGCAAGUCGAGCGAACAGAUGAGGAGCUUGCUCCUCUGACGUUAGCGGCGGACGGGUGAGUAACACGUGGAUAACCUACCUAUAAGACUGGGAUAACUUCGGGAAACCGGAGCUAAUACCGGAUAAUAUAUUGAACCGCAUGGUUCAAUAGUGAAAGACGGUUUUGCUGUCACUUAUAGAUGGAUCCGCGCCGCAUUAGCUAGUUGGUAAGGUAACGGCUUACCAAGGCAACGAUGCGUAGCCGACCUGAGAGGGUGCUCGGCCACACUGGAACUGAGACACGGUCCAGACUCCUACGGGAGGCAGCAGUAGGGAAUCUUCCGCAAUGGGCGAAAGCCUGACGGAGCAACGCCGCGUGAGUGAUGAAGGUCUUCGGAUCGUAAAACUCUGUUAUUAGGGAAGAACAAAUGUGUAAGUAACUAUGCACGUCUUGACGGUACCUAAUCAGAAAGCCACGGCUAACUACGUG
rnacentral:rRNA from 1 species